UCGCUUUCGUUCACUUUUCGUUCAGUACGUGCGUUGAUAGUUCUGUACAAUUUAAGCCACAAUUAAUACAAAGGUGCAGUUAAUCCAAAGAAAGCCGAGCAACACUUCUGGUUUUUCAAAUCUGUCUUCAAAAAUUUUUUUGAAAAUAAUCCCAGAUAGCACAUGAUAUUCUCAGUAUAUUCUAUAAAUGUACGAAUGUACGGAGAAUAUACGAGAAUAUUUUCAGAAUAUCCUCAGAAUAUCUGAAAUACUAUAUAAUAUCCAUUUUCAGAUAUACUGAGAACAUGCUCAGAAUAUCUAAAAUACAAUAUCCAUUGUUAGAUAUACUGAGAAUAUGCUCAGAAUAUCUAAAAUAUGAUAUCCGUUUACAGAUAUAUUGAGAAUCUCCUCAGCAUAUCUAAAAUAUAAUAUUCAAUUUAUGUAAUAUUCCUAUAGGUGACGGUAUAUCGAGUGCUGUAUAAUUUAGCGUUCAAUAAAUUGAUAAAGAUUACAAUUCAUUCUAACCAAGUGUAUCCAAGUGUUUCUAACCAAAUGUAACGUGUGAAAAUUAAAAUAUUAAUAUAAUUAUAUUUAUAAUAAUUGUAUUUAUAAUUAAUGAUGUGGUGAGGUGCAAAUACAAGAGUUGUACUGAGGAUGAAUUCUCAGGGCCUAUUAAAAGAUGGUUAGCACAUGCCAAGGAGAGAAUCCAAAAAAAUUCGAAAUAAAAUAUAUAUUUGCUUCUGUAAAUUUUAUUCUAAUUAUUUAAAAAGUAUCUAACCUAACCUAAAAAAAUAACUGAAAAUACAAAAUAAUUUGGAAUUGUAUUUCUUUUGAAAUGGCGGUGCGAAAUAUCAACCUUUUAAUUCUAAUACCCCGUAACUGAAAAAUCCAAAACAGGAGACAUUUUAUUUUGUUUUCUAUCAAUUGAUACGUUUUUUUAAAUUUGAUACUUAUCAAUUGAUAAAAAACAAAAUAAAACGUCUCUUGUAAAAUUUAGAUGUUUCAGUUACGGAGUAUUGGAAUUAGAUUGUCGAUAUACUGGGUAUAUACUGAGGAUAUUCUGAAGAUAUACUGAGGAUGUACUGAGGAUAUACUGAAGAUAUACUGAAGAUAUAACGAGAAUAUACUGAGAAUAUUAAAAAAGCGGACAUUUGGAUAUACUGAGAAUAUGCUCAGAAUAUCUUAGAUAUUCUACGAAUAUUCUCAGUAUAUUGCAAUAUACGACUAUUGAUAUUCUAAGAAUAUCCUCAGAAUAUUAUUGUGCUAUCUGGAAUGAAACAUAGUAAAACGAUUUUUUAUAGAAACGUUAAUGUAAUGUAUAUUUUUUAAGAAGAAUGUGUGUAAUACUUAAUUCGUAUCUAAUAGAUGUAAUAUCCUGCCAGCAUCGGUACGUGACAAUUACGUCACUAUAACGUGUUAACUUCUCGCACGUUACGUUACAAGAACGUCUCAUUUGGUGUUCGAAACGUAAUUGUUACGUCAUUAUUACGUAACAAUCACGUACAGAAAAUCAGACAAAUAGUUAAUUAAAUUUUAUUUGUAUGUUACGUCGCGGUAACGUGCGAAAGACGUAUCAUAUUUUUGUGACUUUGUGACCAAAAUGGAACGUCUCUUUCACGUAUAGUGCUGGCAGGGUAAUAAUAAAGGUAAUAAAAAAAUAUAUUUCAGAUUUCUAUUGUGCAUACAAGCUUCCAUAAUUGCAUCACCAAUCAUAUCCUAAUCAAAAAUGCAUACAUUGAUGAAAAAAAAGAUAAAAAAUUAAAACAUUAACAUAUGUCUUAUCAUAUACACAUACUAAAAAAGAUAAUUAUGACAUAAGAUUACAGUUUAUAUACUUAUAUGUAUUUAAUAAAUUGUAUCGAAUACAUAUAUGUACACAUAUACAUAUACAUAUAUACAGCGUGUGUCAAAAGUUCCGGGACGGCUGGAUAAUUUGAAAAAUACGCAUCACAGAGGAAAAUAACAUCGACAAAAGUUGUAGGAUUUUUCUCGGGCAAUCCGAUGGUGACCUUAGAUUUGGCCUUGCCCGUGAGGGCCUUCAAGGUCAUUUCAAGGUCAAAUCAAAUUUUUUGAAUAAAAAUCCCUAUUUUUGAUU
rnacentral:lncRNA from 1 species